rnacentral:rRNA from 1 species
UUGAUUCUGGCUCAGGAUGAACGCUAGCUACAGGCUUAACACAUGCAAGUCGAGGGGCAGCAUGGUCUUAGCUUGCUAAGGCCGAUGGCGACCGGCGCACGGGUGAGUAACACGUAUCCAACCUGCCGUCUACUCUUGGGCAGCCUUCUGAAAGGAAGAUUAAUACAAGAUGGCAUCAUGAGUCCACAUGUUCACAUGAUUAAAGGUAUUCCGGUAGACGAUGGGGAUGCGUUCCAUUAGAUAGUAGGCGGGGUAACGGCCCACCUAGUCUUCGAUGGAUAGGGGUUCUGAGAGGAAGGUCCCCCACAUUGGAACUGAGACACGGUCCAAACUCCUACGGGAGGCAGCAGUGAGGAAUAUUGGUCAAUGGGCGAGAGCCUGAACCAGCCAAGUAGCGUGAAGGAUGACUGCCCUAUGGGUUGUAAACUUCUUUUAUAAAGGAAUAAAGUCGGGUAUGCAUACCCGUUUGCAUGUACUUUAUGAAUAAGGAUCGGCUAACUCCGUGCCAGCAGCCGCGGUAAUACGGAGGAUCCGAGCGUUAUCCGGAUUUAUUGGGUUUAAAGGGAGCGUAGAUGGAUGUUUAAGUCAGUUGUGAAAGUUUGCGGCUCAACCGUAAAAUUGCAGUUGAUACUGGAUAUCUUGAGUGCAGUUGAGGCAGGCGGAAUUCGUGGUGUAGCGGUGAAAUGCUUAGAUAUCACGAAGAACUCCGAUUGCGAAGGCAGCCUGCUAAGCUGCAACUGACAUUGAGGCUCGAAAGUGUGGGUAUCAAACAGGAUUAGAUACCCUGGUAGUCCACACGGUAAACGAUGAAUACUCGCUGUUUGCGAUAUACAGCAAGCGGCCAAGCGAAAGCGUUAAGUAUUCCACCUGGGGAGUACGCCGGCAACG